rnacentral:rRNA from 1 species
UACAGAGGUCUCGAGCGUUGUUCGGAUUCACUGGGCGUAAAGGGUGCGUAGGUGGUGAGGUAAGUCGGAUGUGAAAUCUCCGGGCUCAACCCGGAAAUGGCAUUGGAACUACCUUGCUAGAGGAUUUGAGGGGGAUUGGAAUAGCUUGGUGUAGCAGUGAAAUGCGUAGAUAUCAAGUGGAACACCAGUGGCGAAGGCGAAUCCCUGGAAAAUACCUGACACUGAGGCACGAAAGCUAGGGAGCAAACGG